rnacentral:rRNA from 1 species
UCCAGACUCCUACGGGAGGCAGCAGUGGGGAAUAUUGCACAAUGGGGGAAACCCUGAUGCAGCGACGCCGCGUGAAGGAAGAAGUAUUUCGGUAUGUAAACUUCUAUCAGCAGGGAAGAAAAUGACGGUACCUGACUAAGAAGCCCCGGCUAACCACGUGCCAGCAGCCGCGGUAAUACGUAGGGGGCAAGCGUUAUCCGGAUUUACUGGGUGUAAAGGGGGCGUAGACGGCAGAGCAAGUCUGAAGUGAAAGCCCGCGGCCCAACUGCGGGACUGCUUUGGAAACUGCCCGGCUAGAGUGCUGGAGAGGUAAGCGGAAUUCCUAGUGUAGCGGUGAAAUGCGUAAAUAUUAGGAGGAACACCAGUGGCGAAGGCGGCCUGCUGGGCUUUAACUGACGCUGAGGCUCGAAGGCGUGGGUAGCAAACAGGAUUAGAUACCCGCGUAC